GUUCUUUUCAUGCAGGGGGAUUAACAUUUUGGAAACAGAUGCUAAUACCGUAUAACAAUGACAACCGCAGGGAGAAUUAAAAAGAUGGUUCGGCUAUGACUAAGAGAUGGUCCCGCGGUGCAUUAGCUAGUUGGUAAGGUAAUGGCUUACCAAGGCGAUGAUGCAUAGCCAAGUUGAGAAACUGAUCGGCCACAAUGGGACUGAGACACGGCCCAUACUCCUACGGGAGGCAGCAGUAGGGAAUCUUCCACAAUGGGCGAAAGCCUGAUGGAGCAACGCCGCGUGUGUGAUGAAGGGUUUCGGCUCGUAAAACACUGUUGUAAGAGAAGAAUGACAUUGAGAGUAACUGUUCAAUGUGUGACGGUAUCUUACCAGAAAGGAACGGCUAAAUACGUGCCAGCAGCCGCGGUAAUACGUAUGUUCCAAGCGUUAUCCGGAUUUAUUGGGCGUAAAGCGAGCGCAGACGGUUAUUUAAGUCUGAAGUGAAAGCCCUCAGCUCAACUGAGGAAUUGCUUUGGAAACUGGAUGACUUGAGUGCAGUAGAGGAAAGUGGAACUCCAUGUGUAGCGGUGAAAUGCGUAGAUAUAUGGAAGAACACCAGUGGCGAAGGCGGCUUUCUGGACUGUAACUGACGUUGAGGCUCGAAAGUGUGGGUAGCAAACAGGAUUAGAUACCCUGGUAGUCCACACCGUAAACGAUGAGUGCUAGGUGUUUGAGGGUUUCCGCCCUUAAGUGCCGCAGCUAACGCAUUAAGCACUCCGCCUGGGGAGUACGACCGCAAGGUUGAAACUCAAAGGAAUUGACGGGGACCCGCACAAGCGGUGGAGCAUGUGGUUUAAUUCGAAGCAACGCGAAGAACCUUACCAGGUCUUGACAUCCCUUGACAACUCCAGAGAUGGAGUGUUCCCUUCGGGGACAAGGUGACAGGUGGUGCAUGGUUGUCGUCAGCUCUGUGUCGUGAGAUGUUGGGUUAAGUCCCGCAACGAGCGCAACCCUUAUUACUAGUUGCCAGCAUUCAGUUGGGCACUCUAGUGAGACUGCCGGUGACAAACCGGAGGAAGGUGGGGAUGACGUCAAAUCAUCAUGCCCCUUAUGACCUGGGCUACACACGUGCUACAAUGGCGUAUACAACGAGUUGCCAACCCGCGAGGGUGAGCUAAUCUCUUAAAGUACGUCUCAGUUCGGAUUGUAGGCUGCAACUCGCCUACAUGAAGUCGGAAUCGCUAGUAAUCGCGGAUCAGCACGCCGCGGUGAAUACGUUCCCGGGUCUUGUACACACCCCCUUGUCACACCAUGAGAGUUUGUAACACCCAAAGCCGGUGGGGUAACCUUUCUGGGCAGGCUCCA
rnacentral:rRNA from 1 species